UACGUAGGUGGCAAGCGUUGUCCGGAUUUAUUGGGCGUAAAGCGAGCGCAGGCGGUUUCUUAAGUCUGAUGUGAAAGCCCCCGGCUUAACCGGGGAGGGUCAUUGGAAACUGAGAAACUUGAGUGCAGAAGAGGAGAGUGGAAUUCCAUGUGUAGCGGUGAAAUGCGUAGAUAUAUGGAGGAACACCAGUGGCGAAGGCGACUCUCUGGUCUGUAACUGACGCUGAGGCUCGAAAGCGUGGGGAGCAAACAGG
rnacentral:rRNA from 1 species